rfam:Poecilia formosa, whole genome shotgun sequence.
UAAAUGGAUCUUUUUGGAUCCACAUAUAUUUCAUGAGAAUAGCCCG